rnacentral:snoRNA from 1 species
UAUUAAGGAUGACCAUUAUCCCGAACCUGAUUCCUUUAAGAUUGACAACCCUAUCGGAUCUGACUUCUGAAAU